rnacentral:lncRNA from 1 species
CUUGAAUCAGGUUUCAAGUUUGAAGACACUGAGACCUGGGAACAUGGUUCAGAAUAUUAUGAAGCCGGUGAAAUGCAAAACAGGAGGUAGGUAAUAUCAUACCUUUUUUUUUUUUUUCUUUUUUUCUUUUUUUUCUUUUUUUUUCUUUUAGCACUUAAAUUCCUCUCAAGGUCCAAAGAUUUUGGUUCAUAAUCUUGAAAUCUCACUCAGCCUCUGCGAACACUUGGAAGGAAUUCUCAUACUAGCAAGUUCCUCCUGAACACUGCUACUACCAUGACAACUAUUUAUUUGGAAUGAAAUGCAUGGGGCGACAGAUGUUCCUUCAUCAUCCAUAUGCUGAAAUAUUAUGCUUCUUCAUGGACAGGCAGAAACUUCACUGUUUGGCCAAGCUUUACUCCCUCCUCCAGCCAUCCUAGUGGAAAAAUUACUCAAAAGUCUCUUCCCAAAGUUUAUAGGACUGCAAAAUGUGGUAAUUAUAGAAUUAAGGAUGAAGGUUUCAUUCAUUCAUUGCUCCUGUUCCCAAACAUAGACCUGCCAUGCCCUCGGCCAGCUGUCUGCGUGGGGAAGCAGCGAGGGAGCUGGCUGCUCCACAAGGGAAGGGGAACCUGUGGCUUCGUUACGGCUGGUGUGAGCAGAGGCCUCACCAACAAGGUGCCAGGAUGCAGAGCAGCACAUCCAGGUCUGGAUCAGGGCCAGAGAAGGUGGGCAGAGUCAGACACAAUCCAGUGAUGAGGCAGUCCAACGUCAUGCCUGGCAGAGAGCUGUCAAGCACUGACUGAGAGCUGCCACCUCUGCUGUGAUGUUGCACAGGCAGGGCUUGGUGGUAAGGCCUCAGCAUAAGAGCAGCCCCCGGGGGAGAGGAGUGGGAGGCCUUCUCCUCCAGCUUCCUUCACAACAGUUCCUACCAGGGAGGGAGCAGACCUUGGGCUCCAACUGCUAAACUGAAUUCAGCCAACUAAACUCCCUGAAGGGGGUGCCCUCUGGACCCUACAUAACAAAAAUCUGGAGCAAGCAAGGAGAGGAUUCCUCACCUACUUUAAAAUUUGCAAGAAGGUUUUUGGUAAUUGGAUAUUACAAGCCACUACCUUGGAUAGAGUUGAUGGAUAGGCUCCAGCUUUGUAAAAUAAACAGCCUUCCCGCAGCA